rnacentral:misc_RNA from 1 species
AGGGCUGAAUGGUCAUGGCCGUUUUUAGACUGUAUUUACCUCCUGAAGAUGAAGAGCUCUAUAAAGAAUAUAGUAAAAUACUCUUUUGUAGAGAGGAUAGCAAUGAACCCCCUUCAAAUUUUUUCAGAUUUUUAAAUCUUCAAAAUAAAUCUGUAGCUGCGCAGUUCAACAGCUGUCCGGAGUGAUUAAAAAAGCAUUGUCCUGUUCUUGUAUGCAUACUUUUCAAACAAAAUGGCAUGUAGGACUUUAUAUUUAUUGCUUUUAUAUCUGUUGGCAACAUUUUUUGCCAGUUUCAGACAGAAACAAGCCAGUUUAAGAAAUGUUUACAUUCUUAUCCUCAAAUGUACAAGAUGGCUGCACAUCCCCAUGAAGAAUUCUACAUGCAACCAUCGUUUAUCAGCCAUUGGGUACUGUCUGUACCCAACCAUGUGGGUGGCUAGGGGUCUUAAAGUCUGCCCUGUCCAUCUUUUUCUCUAUCCUUCACACAUAACAAUAUUGACAAUGUCAAAGAGAUUAUCCAUGCAAAAGAUAAACACGGAUGAGAGAACCAGUCUACAUUUCAUGACUAUAUGCUGGUUUACCUUUUUUAAUGUUUACAAAAUUUUAUCAAAUUUUCCAAAGAGCAAAUGCACAGCAUGCUAAUUUUCUGAUGGAAACUUUUCCUAUAAUCUUCAAUUAACUAUAAAUCUUUUUGAAUUUACUUUUAUUUCCAAAAAACUGCUUCACAUUAUUUAUCAAACUUCAUAUGCUGGGUGAGACCAGUGACAGCAAUUCAAUUGUGUAAUAUUCUUUUUUUCUUUGUACAACUAUCUUAGCUUACUAUAUAUUUAUUAUCUCAGACUAAAGAAAUGAGAUGUACGGUAUUUUUUCUUUUUAUAUAUGAUUGCAAUAAAUUGUACAAAUGAGCAGGACAUUUUUUCUUAUAUCAUAUUUUUGUAGGAAAUAAUAACUAGUAUCAUUCAUGAAUUUAAUAUUUACUUGUGAAAAUAAAUUGAAAAUUU